UCUGGUGCACGUGAUGACUAACCUUUUUUCCCCAGCAGAUCGACUCUGUUGACCUUUAAAACGAAAAUAAGCCAAAUUAUCUGAACAACCAGA
ensembl:snoRNA